UACAGAGGUCCCAAGCGUUGUUCGGAUUCAUUGGGCGUAAAGGGUGCGUAGGCGGCGCGGUAAGUCGGGUGUGAAAUCUCGGGGCUUAACUCCGAAACUGCAUUCGAUACUGCCGUGCUUGAGGACUGGAGAGGAGACUGGAAUUUACGGUGUAGCGGUGAAAUGCGUAGAUAUCGUAAGGAAGACCAGUGGCGAAGGCGGGGCUCUGGACAGUUCCUGACGCUGAGGCACGAAGGCCAGGGGAGCAAACGGG
rnacentral:rRNA from 1 species